GACGAACGCUGGCGGCGUGCUUAACACAUGCAAGUCGAACGGAAAGGCCCUGCUUUUGUGGGGUUCUCGAGUGGCGAACGGGUGAGUAACACGUGAGUAUCCUGCCCUUGACUUUGGGAUAACUUCAGGAAACUGGGGCUAAUACCGGAUAGGAGCUCCUGCUCCACGGUGGGGGUUGGAAAGUUUCGGCGGUUGGGGAUGGACUCGCGGCUUAUCCGCUUGUUGGUGGGGUAGUGGCUUACCAAGGUUUUGACGGGUAGCCGGCCUGAGAGGGUGACCGGCCACAUUGGGACUGAGAUACGGACCAGACUCGUACGGGAGGCAGCAGGGGGGAAUAUUGCACAAUGGGCGGGAGCGUGAUGCAGCGACGCCGCGUGCGGGAUGACGGCCUUCGGGUCGUAAACCGCUUUCGCAUGUGACGAAGCGUGAGUGACGGUAAUGGGUAAAGAAGCACCGGCUAACUACGUG
rnacentral:rRNA from 1 species